AUAAAAUUCGGUGUCCCUUCAUGUUAAAAACUCUGAAUAAACUAGGUAUUGGAGGAACCUACCUCAAAAUAAUAAGAACCAUAUGUAAUAAACCCACAGCUGAUGUCAUGGUGAAUGGGCAAAAGCUGGAAGCAUUCCCCUGGAAAACCAGCACAAGACAAGGAUGCCCUCUCUCACCACUCCUGUUCAUCAUAGCAUUGGAAGUUCUGGCCAGGGCAAUCAGGCAAGAGAAAGAAAUAAAUGGCAUUAUUUUUAAAUUGGAAUAAUUACCUUUACCUCUUUUUACCAAAAUGUUAAGGCUGAAGUAUUUUUAGCAUCUCAGGACAGUUACUCUCAUCAUAUAUCAAACUAAAUCUCCUAGAAGCAAUCUAUCCACAUCCAUAUCAGUUCAAUCUCAGAAAUCAGUAUCUCAAUGGGUACUGUGUACCCAAAUCAUCUGCUAGAAUAAAACCUCUCUCUGUGACAGGAACAGUCCAAAAAGGAAGCUGGGAGUCAGCCCAUCACGAGGUUGCUUGAUCAGAAUCACAUGAACUGGAAAUUCCCUGUCUCCCCUUAACCAGCACUGGAAGCAGAUGGGAAGAGAAUAGCUGUGACUGACUCACACUCUAACCCAGCAACCCUCAGCAUACAAGUGGGAGACCAUAAAGUUUUUCAAGACCCCAAAAGAGGCCAAAGGUCUGAUAAUUGCUGGGAGAAGGUCCACUAUCCAAGAAGAGAAGAGGAAAAGGAAUUAAAGUCUCCAAGCACUGGGGAUGCAAGAAGAGAGUUGCACAGGAGAGAAAGAAGAAGUUGUCCACGGGGUGACCCUGCAAUUGGAGGGAAAUGCAUGUGGAUAUGUGCAGGGAGUCUAGGAAGUGAAGCCUUAGUGAUCAUUUACAAGAAUGAGGGUUAGGUAAAAUAAGGGAUGCAAAGCCACCUGUAGUCUAUUCUAACCUCACUCCAUCACUCUAUACAAUCUGUGUUUUAUCAUCUGAAAUGUUAAGUAAAGACCUGUUUGGGUCUUCUUCAGAAUCCCAUACAUUUGAGUUCAUUAGUCAGAAAAAGGGAAAAUACCACCACCCCAUCCUGGAAUGGCAGUCAUGUACACUUUUAUAAUGAGAGAUUGGGCAGCAAAGGGGGCCCCUUGUGGACCUCACCCAGCCAGAGAAGGAGGCAGAAUGUUUCCUUUACUAUCUUUUCCUCUCCCCAGAGGAACACUACAUAUUGUUCCCUCCAUGGGCUUAAGAGAAGGUGCCAGGGUUACAGAUAGAUAUAUCGCUAGCUGUAGAGCACAGGGUGAAUUGGGAUGUCCAUGUACAAAGCUAGGGACAGGAGAAUCAGUUUAAAGACUUUAAAAAUAAUUAGGAAAAAAAGGAAGGCCUGACCCAAAGCUUAGGAGUGCAGGUAGAGAAGAGAUGGUGCCAUGAUAUACCAUGUCUCUGGGACUUUUCUGUAUUCCUCUUCCUCUGUAUACUGUAUUGCCCUCAUUCCCUAUUUAUUCAAAAUCUGUGCUACCUCCACUGCGAAGACUUCCACGAGAAAAUUCAGAUAUUUCUUCUUUUGUGGACACUUUCUACCUUACAAAUAAGUUAAUUUUAAUUCAAGGAAGAGUUUUUCCGGAACCCUGUUGGCCUGCUCACAGGAAUGUAAGUUCCUUAAAUCUAGGGCACAGUGUCUUUGAGAACUGCAAUCACCUACAUCAACAUGACAUAGCUAUUAGGACUACAGGCGCCUGCCACCACGCCUGGCUAAUUUUUUGUAUUUUUAGUAGAGAUGGGGUUUCACCGUGUUAGCCAGGAUGGUCUCAAUCUCCUGACCUCGUGAUCCACCCGUCUCAGCCUCCCAAAGUGCUAGGAUUACAGGCCUGAGACACCGCGCCCGCCACCCCCCCUCUUUUCUUUAACUGGCCUAACUAAAUAUUUAGUCUUUUCAAGUUUACCUCAAACCUCUCACGUGUGAAAGCUCUACUGGUUAGCCCUAGAGUUAAUUAUAUUGUAUUGCUUGGCUCAUAGGAGGUAUUUAAUAAACACAUUAGUUGACUG
rnacentral:lncRNA from 1 species